rnacentral:misc_RNA from 1 species
AUUAUAUAGUACUCAGACAUCACUAAAAACAGAGUUGAGGUCCUCUGGCAGGCGCUCACUGGCCGAGGCCCGUGGUGUUUCCACGGCCUGCCAAAGCAACAAAGGUAUAGGUAUACAAGGGUGGGAGAUCUACCCCGAAGGGCAUGAACUCUGUAAUGAUCCUUCCGCAGGUUCACCUACGGAAACCUUGUUACGACUUUUACUUCCUCUAAAUGACCAAGA